GGGUUGUGAGGUUAAGCGACUAAGCGUACACGGUGGAUGCCCUGGCAGUCAGAGGCGAUGAAGGACGUGCUAAUCUGCGAUAAGCGUCGGUAAGGUGAUAUGAACCGUUAUAACCGGCGAUUUCCGAAUGGGGAAACCCAGUGUGAUUCGUCACACUAUCAUUAACUGAAUCCAUAGGUUAAUGAGGCGAACCGGGGGAACUGAAACAUCUAAGUACCCCGAGGAAAAGAAAUCAACCGAGAUUCCCCCAGUAGCGGCGAGCGAACGGGGAGGAGCCCAGAGCCUGAAUCAGUGUGUGUGUUAGUGGAAGCGUCUGGAAAGGCGCGCGAUACAGGGUGACAGCCCCGUACACAAAAAUGCACAUACUGUGAGCUCGAUGAGUAGGGCGGGACACGUGGUAUCCUGUCUGAAUAUGGGGGGACCAUCCUCCAAGGCUAAAUACUCCUGACUGACCGAUAGUGAACCAGUACCGUGAGGGAAAGGCGAAAAGAACCCCGGCGAGGGGAGUGAAAAAGAACCUGAAACCGUGUACGUACAAGCAGUGGGAGCCUCUUUAUGGGGUGACUGCGUACCUUUUGUAUAAUGGGUCAGCGACUUAUAUUCUGUAGCAAGGUUAACCGAAUAGGGGAGCCGAAGGGAAACCGAGUCUUAACUGGGCGUUAAGUUGCAGGGUAUAGACCCGAAACCCGGUGAUCUAGCCAUGGGCAGGUUGAAGGUUGGGUAACACUAACUGGAGGACCGAACCGACUAAUGUUGAAAAAUUAGCGGAUGACUUGUGGCUGGGGGUGAAAGGCCAAUCAAACCGGGAGAUAGCUGGUUCUCCCCGAAAGCUAUUUAGGUAGCGCCUCGUGAAUUCAUCUCCGGGGGUAGAGCACUGUUUCGGCAAGGGGGUCAUCCCGACUUACCAACCCGAUGCAAACUGCGAAUACCGGAGAAUGUUAUUACGGGAGACACACGGCGGGUGCUAACGUCCGUCGUGAAGAGGGAAACAACCCAGACCGCCAGCUAAGGUCCCAAAGUCAUGGUUAAGUGGGAAACGAUGUGGGAAGGCCCAGACAGCCAGGAUGUUGGCUUAGAAGCAGCCAUCAUUUAAAGAAAGCGUAAUAGCUCACUGGUCGAGUCGGCCUGCGCGGAAGAUGUAACGGGGCUAAACCAUGCACCGAAGCUGCGGCAGCGACACUAUGUGUUGUUGGGUAGGGGAGCGUUCUGUAAGCCUGUGAAGGUGUGCUGUGAGGCAUGCUGGAGGUAUCAGAAGUGCGAAUGCUGACAUAAGUAACGAUAAAGCGGGUGAAAAGCCCGCUCGCCGGAAGACCAAGGGUUCCUGUCCAACGUUAAUCGGGGCAGGGUGAGUCGACCCCUAAGGCGAGGCCGAAAGGCGUAGUCGAUGGGAAACAGGUUAAUAUUCCUGUACUUGGUGUUACUGCGAAGGGGGGACGGAGAAGGCUAUGUUGGCCGGGCGACGGUUGUCCCGGUUUAAGCGUGUAGGCUGAUUUUCCAGGCAAAUCCGGAAAAUCAAGGCUGAGGCGUGAUGACGAGGCACUACGGUGCUGAAGCAACAAAUGCCCUGCUUCCAGGAAAAGCCUCUAAGCAUCAGGUAACAUCAAAUCGUACCCCAAACCGACACAGGUGGUCAGGUAGAGAAUACCAAGGCGCUUGAGAGAACUCGGGUGAAGGAACUAGGCAAAAUGGUGCCGUAACUUCGGGAGAAGGCACGCUGAUAUGUAGGUGAAGCGACUUGCUCGUGGAGCUGAAAUCAGUCGAAGAUACCAGCUGGCUGCAACUGUUUAUUAAAAACACAGCACUGUGCAAACACGAAAGUGGACGUAUACGGUGUGACGCCUGCCCGGUGCCGGAAGGUUAAUUGAUGGGGUUAGCGGUAACGCGAAGCUCUUGAUCGAAGCCCCGGUAAACGGCGGCCGUAACUAUAACGGUCCUAAGGUAGCGAAAUUCCUUGUCGGGUAAGUUCCGACCUGCACGAAUGGCGUAAUGAUGGCCAGGCUGUCUCCACCCGAGACUCAGUGAAAUUGAACUCGCUGUGAAGAUGCAGUGUACCCGCGGCAAGACGGAAAGACCC
rnacentral:rRNA from 1 species